rnacentral:lncRNA from 1 species
GAUCACUUGAUCAACAAGGCAGAUACUAUAAUAGAGGAAUCACAAACUAAUAGUGAAUUGAAUUUCCACAUGAUUACCUGAGGAGAGAAGAUGAUCAAAAUGGAAUGGAAAGGAUCAAAUAAAGAAGAGAGAUAUUUAAUCUAUAUAUUUAAUUAUAUAUACUUAUUUAUGAUAUUGUUCAUUGUUUUAUUUUACCACUUCACUAUUCUGCAAAAAAAAACAUAAAUGCAAAAUUUUUAAUAAUAUGUUGCCAACCUAUAAGACAAGUGAAAUAAAUGAGAAAAAACUUAAAGUAUAAUGGUAGAAAUCUAUGUUUGUAAAUUUCAACAAUCAAUAAGAAGUAGAAUUAUUCAAGCAACAGAACUCCUUGUGAUUACAUGUUUCAAAAAUAAAAAGAUGAUUUUGUUCCAAUAAAUAUUCUAAAUUACUACAUAUAUUUGUCAAUAUAUUGAUGAGUUAAUAUUAAGAUUAGUAUAGAUUUUAAAUUUCUACAUUUUUUCUCUUAACUAUAAACAAAGUUCAUUAUCUUAUGAUGAAUCUUUGUAUUUACUUUCAUUCAACACUGAAAAUUCUAAAAUAAAAAAAGAUGAGAAAAUCUUAUUGAAGCAUUUGGA